rnacentral:rRNA from 1 species
UGGGGAAUUGUUCGCAAUGGGCGCAAGCCUGACGACGCAACGCCGCGUGGAGGAUGAAGACCUUCGGGUCGUAAACUCCUUUCGAUCGAGACGAAUGGUUUCCGGGUGAACAAUCCGGAGAAAUGACGGUACCGAGAGAAGAAGCCCCGGCUAACUCCGUGCCAGCAGCCGCGGUAAUACGGGGGGGGCAAGCGUUGUUCGGAAUUACUGGGCGUAAAGGGCUCGUAGGUGGCCAACUAAGUCAGACGUGAAAUCCCUCAGCUUAACUGGGGAACUGCGUCUGAUACUGGAUGGCUUGAGUUUGGGAGAGGGAUGCGGAAUUCCAGGUGUAGCGGUGAAAUGCGUAGAUAUCUGGAGGAACACCGGUGGCGAAGGCGGCAUCCUGGACCAAUACUGACACUGAGGAGCGAAAGCCAGGGGAGCAAACG